rnacentral:rRNA from 1 species
UAAAACUCUGUUGUUAGGGAAGAACAAGUGCUAGUUGAAUAAGCUGGCACCUUGACGGUACCUAACCAGAAAGCCACGGCUAACUACGUGCCAGCAGCCGCGGUAAUACGUAGGUGGCAAGCGUUAUCCGGAAUUAUUGGGCGUAAAGCGCGCGCAGGUGGUUUCUUAAGUCUGAUGUGAAAGCCCACGGCUCAACCGUGGAGGGUCAUUGGAAACUGGGAGACUUGAGUGCAGAAGAGGAAAGUGGAAUUCCAUGUGUAGCGGUGAAAUGCGUAGAGAUAUGGAGGAACACCAGUGGCGAAGGCGACUUUCUGGUCUGUAACUGACACUGAGGCGCGAAAGCGUGGGGAGCAAACAGGAUUAGAUACCCUGGUAGUCCACGCCGUAAACGAUGAGUGCUAAGUGUUAGAGGGUUUCCGCCCUUUAGUGCUGAAGUUAACGCAUUAAGCACUCCGCCUGGGGAGUACGGCCGCAAGGCUGAAACUCAAAGGAAUUGACG